CCUCCCUCUUCCUCGCCGCCCGACGCUGUGAUUCCUCCCUCUUCCUCGCCGCCCGACGCCGUGAUUCCUCCCGCCUCCCGCUGUCGACGCCGGCAUCGACGCCAAGAUCCGUGAUUCCUCCCUCUUCCUCGCCGCCCGACGCCGUGAUUCCUCCCUCUUCCUCGCCGCCCGACGCCGUGAUUCCUCCCACCUCCCGCUGUCGAGCCGACGCCGACGCCGAGAUAAGAAAUUGGAAUAAACACAGAGUUAUCUGAAAAUGGACUGAACUUGUUUCCAAUUUACUGUUCGUAUAGACAUAGGAGGUCACUUUCGUCUUGUUUCAUUCAGGAAUACAGCUGGUCAUAAGAUAAGGGUUGACGAGGUUUUUCUCUUGGAGAAAGUGUUAGCAAAGCCACAAGCGAGAUUUCCUUUUCUUGGAGGGUGAAAUGAAGAGCCCCUUGCCUACUUCAGUAGGGAGCCUUGAGAAGAACUAUUACAGUAUUACUGAAAGUGACCACCAUUUAUAAGUUCAUACUGAAAAUUUCUGAAUCAAAUCCAGGAGAUGUGGUCACAUUCUUAUGGCAGAAAAUGCGCUGUUGUUACCGCAAAUCAGAUUUGAAGAUUGGACUAAAAUACUACAUAUGCAUGGAAAGCUGGACAAGCUCUCC